UACGAAGGGGGCUAGCGUUGUUCGGAAUAACUGGGCGUAAAGCGCACGUAGGCGGAUUUGUAAGUCAGGGGUGAAAUCCCGGGGCUCAACCUCAGAACUGCCUUUGAUACUGCAAGUCUAGAGUCCGGAAGAGGUGAGUGGAAUUCCUAGUGUAGAGGUGAAAUUCGUAGAUAUUAGCAAGAACACCAGUGGCGAAGGCGGCUCACUGGUCCGGAACUGACGCUGAGGUGCCGAAGCGUGGGUAGCAAUCAGG
rnacentral:rRNA from 1 species